CCUAACACAUGCAAGUCGAACGGUAACAGGAAGAAGCUUGCUUCUUUGCUGACGAGUGGCGGACGGGUGAGUAAUGUCUGGGAAACUGCCUGAUGGAGGGGGAUAACUACUGGAAACGGUAGCUAAUACCGCAUAACGUCGCAAGACCAAAGAGGGGGACCUUCGGGCCUCUUGCCAUCGGAUGUGCCCAGAUGGGAUUAGCUAGUAGGUGGGGUAACGGCUCACCUAGGCGACGAUCCCUAGCUGGUCUGAGAGGAUGACCAGCCACACUGGAACUGAGACACGGUCCAGACUCCUACGGGAGGCAGCAGUGGGGAAUAUUGCACAAUGGGCGCAAGCCUGAUGCAGCCAUGCCGCGUGUAUGAAGAAGGCCUUCGGGUUGUAAAGAAGUUC
rnacentral:rRNA from 1 species